rnacentral:rRNA from 1 species
ACGAACGCUGGCGGCGUGCCUAACACAUGCAAGUCGAGCGGAGACAGUGAGUAGCUUGCUAUGAGCUGUUUUAGCGGCGGACGGGUGAGUAACGCGUGAGCAACCUUUCCCAGACAGGGGAAUAACACACCGAAAGGUGUACUAAUACCGCAUAAGACCACGGAAUCACAUGGUUCUGAGGUAAAAGAUUUAUCGGUUUGGGGUGGGCUCGCGUCCGAUUAGGUAGUUGGUGAGGUAACGGCCCACCAAGCCGACGAUCGGUAGCCGACCUGAGAGGGUGAUCGGCCACAUUGGGACUGAGACACGGCCCAAACUCCUACGGGAGGCAGCAGUGGGGAAUAUUGGGCAAUGGAGGAAACUCUGACCCAGCAACGCCGCGUGGAGGAAGAAGGUUUUCGGAUCGUAAACUCCUGUCCUUGGAGACGAGUAGAAGACGGUAUCCAAGGAGGAAGCCCCGGCUAACUACGUGCCAGCAGCCGCGGUAAUACGUAGGGGGCAAGCGUUGUCCGGAAUAAUUGGGCGUAAAGGGCGCGUAGGCGGCUCGGUAAGUCUGGAGUGAAAGUCCUGCUUUUAAGGUGGGAAUUGCUUUGGAUACUGUCGGGCUUGAGUGCAGGAGAGGUUAGUGGAAUUCCCAGUGUAGCGGUGAAAUGCGUAGAGAUUGGGAGGAACACCAGUGGCGAAGGCGACUAACUGGACUGUAACUGACGCUGAGGCGCGAAAGUGUGGGGAGCAAACAGGAUUAGAUACCCUGGUAGUCCACACUGUAAACGAUGAAUGCUAGGUGUAGGGGGUAUCGACCCCUUCUGUGCCGCAGUCAACACAAUAAGCAUUCCGCCUGGGGAGUACGGCCGCAAGGUUGAAACUCAAAGGAAUUGACGGGGGCCCGCACAAGCAGUGGAGUAUGUGGUUUAAUUCGAAGCAACGCGAAGAACCUUACCAAGUCUUGACAUCCUUCUGACCGGAACUUAACCGUUCCUUCCCUUCGGGGCAGAAGUGACAGGUGGUGCAUGGUUGUCGUCAGCUCGUGUCGUGAGAUGUUGGGUUAAGUCCCGCAACGAGCGCAACCCUUAUCUUCAGUUACUAACGCGUGAGGGUGAGGACUCUGAAGAGACUGCCGGGGACAACUCGGAGGAAGGUGGGGACGACGUCAAAUCAUCAUGCCCCUUAUGACCUGGGCUACACACGUGCUACAAUGGCCACGACAGAGAGAAGCGAAAUCGUAAGGUAGAGCGGAACUCAAAAAAGUGGUCCCAGUUCGGAUUGUGGGCUGCAACCCGCCCACAUGAAGUCGGAGUUGCUAGUAAUCGCGGAUCAGCAUGCCGCGGUGAAUACGUUCCCGGGCCUUGUACACACCGCCCGUCACACCAUGGGAGUUGGGAGUGCCCAAAGCCGGUGAGGCAACCGCAAGGAGCCAGCCGUCUAAGGCAAGACCAAUGACUGGGGUG